rnacentral:rRNA from 1 species
GACGAACGCUGGCGGCAUGCCUAACACAUGCAAGUCGAACGGAGUUUAAUUGACAGAAGCCUUCGGGCAGAAGACGAUUAAACUUAGUGGCGGACGGGUGAGUAACGCGUGGAUAACCUGCCUUAUAGAGGGGGACAACAGUUGGAAACGACUGCUAAUACCGCAUAAGGUCUCGAGACCGCAUGAUCUUGAGAAGAAAGAUGGCCUCUGAAAAUGCUAUCGCUAUAAGAUGGAUCCGCGUCUGAUUAGCUGGUUGGUGAGGUAACGGCUCACCAAGGCAACGAUCAGUAGCCGGCCUGAGAGGGUGAACGGCCACAUUGGAACUGAGACACGGUCCAGACUCCUACGGGAGCAGCAGUGGGGAAUCUUCCGCAAUGGGCGAAAGCCUGACGGAGCAACGCCGCGUGAGUGAUGACGGCCUUCGGUUGGUAAAC